rnacentral:rRNA from 1 species
UGGGGAAUAUUGCGCAAUGGGCGAAAGCCUGACGCAGCAACGCCGCGUGAGUGAUGAAGGCCUUCGGGUCGUAAAGCUCUGUCGGAGGGAACGAAUGCUCCUGAAGUUAACAGCCUCAGGAGGUGACGGUACCCUCAAAGGAAGCACCGGCUAACUCUGUGCCAGCAGCCGCGGUAAUACAGAGGGUGCAAGCGUUGUUCGGAUUUACUGGGCGUAAAGGGCGCGUAGGCGGUGUGUCAAGUCAGUUGUGAAAUCUCCGAGCUUAACUCGGAACGGUCAACUGAUACUGUCACACUAGAGUACAGAAGGGGCAAUCGGAAUUCUUGGUGUAGCGGUGAAAUGCGUAGAUAUCAAGAGGAACACCUGAGGCGAAGGCGGGUUGCUGGGCUGAUACUGACGCUGAGGCGCGAAAGCUAGGGUAGCAAACGGGAUUAGAUACCCACGUAGUCCCUGAGCGGGCUGGCAAGGCGCAU